GAUGAACGCUAGCUACAGGCUUAACACAUGCAAGUCGAGGGACCGGCGCACGGGUGAGUAACACGUAUCCAACCUGCCCUUUACUCGGGGAUAGCCUUUCGAAAGAAAGAUUAAUACCCGAUAUAAAGGAUGGGGAGGCGUUCCAUUAGGUUGUUGGUGAGGUAACGGCUCACCAAGCCUUCGAUGGAUAGGGGUUCUGAGAGGAAGGUCCACCACAUUUGAACUAGGGCCCGGUCCAAACUCCUACGCGGGGCAGCAGUAAGGAAUAUUGGUCAAUGAGCGCUGGCCUGAACCAGCCAAGUAGCGUGAAGAAUGAAUGCUUAUGGGUCGUAAACUUCUUUUAAAUAAGAAUAUGUAUUAUAUGAAUAAGGAUCGGCUAACUCCGUGCCAGCAGCCGCGGUAAUAC
rnacentral:rRNA from 1 species